rnacentral:rRNA from 1 species
ACGGGGGGACUCCUACGGGAGGCAGCAGUGGGGAAUAUUGGACAAUGGGCGGAAGCCUGACGCAGCGACGCCGCGUGAGGGAUGACGGCCUUCGGGUUGUAAACCUCUUUCAGCAGGGACGAACCUAGACGGUACCUGCAGAAGAAGCACCGGCCAACUACGUGCCAGCAGCCGCGGUAAU